GGGCAAGUUCCAAGAAUGGCCCCUCUGGGGAGACUUGGGUCCAGGUUGCAGGGCUCAGACCCGGCUCCGGCUCUAGGAUUCCUCCCGGACGACCAUCUGGCCUGUGUCCGGGUGCUGAUUGCCUGUGAUCUGACAGUAAUGAUUGUAAUGGGAACCUGUGGGGGAUGACUGGCCUCUGGUUUUGGGCUGGCGAUAAAGAACGAGCAAGUGUCGACGAAGCCAGGAAACCUUGUGUGGAACCAGGAGACCUUACCGCCGAUGUCUACGUGGGAGAGACGUCCUUCCUGGAAUCCUGCAGCCCGGCUGCAGCGGCUCUGUGCCCUGCGCGCUCCGCCGACCGGGCUCUCUCAGCUCCUCUCCCUUCCCUGCCGGCAAAGACGCCUCCUCGUUUGUGCUGAGCCUGACUUCUGCCUUCUCUCUCCACAUAGGCCCAGACGGGCAGACGGACGGGCGGACACAGAUACAGUGGUGCAGGGGUGAAAGCCACUGGGCGAGGGUGACCUGGCCCCGACCGCUUGCCACCCACCGCCUCUCAGCGCCCAGGGUUCCGCGCCCGCCUGCUGCCUCCUGUGGGGCAGGAAUGAAGAAGGCGCCCUGUG